UCUGAGUGCGUGGCCAUUUCUGUUUACAUUGCAAUGCAGUAUGGGAGUCGUAAGGUCAACCCAACCUAAGACAAUCAAAAAGGAGCUGAUUCACCAAUAUGUCCAGAAGGCAAGCAAAUGGAAAUGACUGGGGCUGACCGUCCGUUCAAUUAGGAUAACCAAUCUACAUACAUACUCUUCCGCUUACCAUUAUAUAUGGUUGAUUCGCAUAAACGAACAUAGCAGCGCCAACAAACGUUAGCUACUUUCGGGUUACUAAUUCUUUGGAUUUAUUUGCCCAAUGAUUUUGACCAGGCGUCAGCUCACCGGGAUAUGAAUAGUUUCACAAGAUUGCAGAGCAGUGGGAGAAGUCAUGUGUGACAUCAGACCUCAACACUGACUAGGAGCAAGAAUGCCAAAGAGGCGGACAGCAUAUCAAUAUCCGGUCAUCACCCUCCUCAACAGCCUCAGGAGGAGGAAGAUCAUCUUCCUUCCAACACAUCUCAACCUCUCCACUAAAAAGGCA